rnacentral:misc_RNA from 1 species
CUGAGUUCUACAAAACUCCCAACCCUUUGUGAACCUUACCGUCGUUGCCUCGGCGCUGAGCGGCGGCUACCCUGGAGCUACCCUGGAGCUACCUACCCUGUAGGUAGCUACCCUGGAGCUACCCUGUAGUUGCACUUCACGCUCCGCCGGCGGACCCCUACACUCUGUUUAUUAUAGUGUAUCUCUGAAAUUAUAACUUAAUACGUUA